UGGGGAAUAUUGGGCAAUGGAGGAAACUCUGACCCAGCGACNCCGCGUGCGGGAUGAAGGCCUUCGGGUUGUAAACCGCUUUCAGUAGGGAAGAAGCGAAAGUGACGGUACCUACAAAAGAAGCACCGGCUAACUAUGUG
rnacentral:rRNA from 1 species